GCAAUUCAAUAAACUAUCAUUAUCUGAUACUAGUUACUGUUCCUUACUAUUCUUGACUUUCUAGAAUGACUGAAAGUGUCUAGAUAGUAUUCCUCAACAAACAUGGAUUUUUUUCAUAGAUUCUCCUAGGUAAUUUAUAAAUUAAUAUUUAUUGUAGUUUUAAUUAUUUUAAUAAUAUGUGCAUAUAUUGAGAUAUUUUUGAAAUGCACAGAAAAAAAAAGUCACUUGUAAUUACACCAUUUGGUGAUAAUCAGUCUGAAUAUUUUGACCUAUAUCCUCACAUAUUUUCCCCUAACAUAAACUGUGAAUAUAACACAUACACACACAAAUGGAAUUAUCCAUGCUGGUUUGUAACUUCUUUUAUCACUUCACAAUAUAUUAAGAACCUUCUCUCAUUCCAUUAUGUAGUCUAAACCAUGGUUUCUUUCAAGAUUGCUCAUGGAUAUACCAUUAAUUAACCAAUACCCUAGUGUUCAACGUUUAGAUGUUUCUAAACUAAUUCUGAGAACUGAAAAUUCAGGUAACUGCUUUGAGCUGCAAUGACCAGCAUGCCCGAAGUAGAAAGUAAGGGCCUUUGGGACACAGCAGCUCUAGAACUUAAAGGGGGCUCAUUAAAGAUGCUGCAACGCCCUGCCGGAAAUGCUACAAUUAAUAGACUCUGUCUUGCAACUUUCACUCCAGAAAUGUUUCUUCCUACUUCUCUGCUAGUGACGGGAGUCUAAAAUAAAAUUUUCUUUCUCUAGCUACUUCCUAGAAGGCUUCACACAUUGUGUCCUGGAACUGGGGAGAAGAGCUGCUGAGCUCUUGCUCCCUCUUUGAUAUCAAGAGCAUUCAGUCAAGUGAAAGAGAAGGGUCUCUAAGCCAUUGAGAUGUGGGAGAGCUUAGUAUAAUAAUAAUUUCCUACCAACUUCAAUUUCCAGGACUUCUAAGUAUCACAUAAUGGCAAGUGGAAUUUCCAAGAAAGGGAAGGAAGUACUUACUUUUUAAAUUAGUUAUGUGACUCUUAACUACCUAUGGUUAACUAGAAUUCUACAAGACAUCAUCCUGUCUUCAUUUUCUGUGUUCAUGCAGUAUACCUGCCAUCUUCAAGUCUUUGAUUAACGAAGCUUAUGUGCAACAGCAUUAGGAGUCAAGCCAUAAUAGCUUUAUGUACCUACUGUGUUUUGAUGAACAAUACAGUAUAAAAGCGGAGGAGAAUUAGGACAAUGAUGUUCAUAAACAGCACAUCACUGUGCUAAGAGGCUGGUAACAGUGUAUGUUUUCAUAUGGCCUAGUAUUGAUUCUCUUGGCCAGUGUCCUACUUUUAACAAUGCUACAGUCACACUUUAAGAUUUCAGAUGGAGAGAUAGAGAAGAUAAUCAAUAGAUACUAUUUUUCCACUACCAACUGGCCUACAUAUCUAUAGCUUCUCUGCCAUAAUCACAUUCAAGGGACCUAAAAAAUGCCUUUGGAAGGUCUGGCCCAGUUACCACGCUUUUAAUAACCUCAGGAUUCUACUCUGACCACCUCAAAGAUUUUAGCUUCAACUCUCAAAGGUCCACAGGAAAGAGCCUAUGAUCCAGGAAGAAUACAAAUUUAUUUGUUCUCUAUUUUUUGUUUCGUUAAUAUAUAAAAAGAAAACUUUAAAAAAAGCCUUACUUGUUACACAAGGACUCUUGUCUGAAACCAAAAUCAUGUAGAAUUUUACUACCAAGCCUUAAAAAAAAAAUACACGGAAAAAUACUUAUAUAGCUAACUGUGAAAAGAAAAAAAUUAGAAGCCAAACCAUUCUUCUGUAAUAUUAUAACACAAUUUUGUUUUCUUCUUUAUGCAUUAUUCUUAGUUGUUAGGUUUUCAAAAAUGACCACGUAUUUUAAUUCAAAAAACAACUUUUAUUUUUUAAAAUGUGACAUGCUGCUAGAGCACAAUGAGGUGACCUACUGAGUGUUUUCUAUAAGCAUCUGCUGGAAUCACAGGUGAGCAUUUGAUAACAUUCAUUGAUGUUGUAAAGGAUAAUCCCUUUUUCAUAAUCAGAGAUUUCUGCAUAUUG